rnacentral:rRNA from 1 species
GAUGAACGCUGACAGAAUGCUUAACACAUGCAAGUCCACUUGAAUUUGGGUUUUUAACUUAGGUUUGGGUGGCGGACGGGUGAGUAACGCGUAAAGAACUUGCCUCACAGCUAGGGACAACAUUUGGAAACGAAUGCUAAUACCUAAUAUUAUGAUAAUAGGGCAUCCUAUAAUUAUGAAAGCUAUAAGCGCUGUGAGAGAGCUUUGCGUCCCAUUAGCUAGUUGGAGAGGUAACGGCUCACCAAGGCGAUGAUGGGUAGCCGGCCUGAGAGGGUGAUCGGCCACAAGGGGACUGAGACACGGCCCUUACUCCUACGGGAGGCAGCAGUGGGGAAUAUUGGACAAUGGACCAAGAGUCUGAUCCAGCAAUUCUGUGUGCACGAUGAAGUUUUUCGGAAUGCAAAGUGCUUUCAGUUGGGAAGAAAGAAAUGACGGUACCAACAGAAGAAGUGACGGCUAAAUACGUG